CUAGAAAAUGUUUAGGGUUAGAAAGGUUUUAGGGUUAGGUAGGGUUUAGGUUAGGUAGUGUUUAGGUUAGGUAGGGUUAGUAGGGUUUAAGGUUAGGGUUAGGUAGCGUUUAGGGUUAGGUAGGGUUUAGGGUUAGGUUUUAGGUAGGGGUUUAGGGUUAGGUAGGGUUUAGGGCUAAAUAGGAUUUAUGUUUAGGGUUAGGUAGGUUUACGGUUAGAAAGGUUUAGGGUUUAGGUAGUAGGUAGGGUUUAGGGAUUAAGGUUAGGUUUAGGUAGGGUUUAGGGUUAGAUAGGGUUAAGGUCUAGGUUUAGGUAGGGUUUAGGGUUAGGUAGGAUUUAGGGUUUAGGUAGUAGGAAAGGUUUAGCGUUUGGUUUAGGUUGAAUUUAGGGUUUGGCUUAGAAUAAUGAUUAGGAUUAUAGGGUUUUGGAUUUGUUUGUUUUUUUGUUUAUGCAUUUCGUGCUGAACUUAUUGGAUAAAAUUUUAUAUUAAUAUUAUUGAUUCAUAAUUUUUUCUAAAAUGUUAAAAAUUUUAACAUGAUUUUUAAUGUUCUUAAAACAAAGUAUGUAUUUUUUUAUUAAGUUUUUGUGACAAUAAGUUGAAUAUAUCUUAGACCACAAAUCAUAAAUAUUCUGAGUCUUAUAUAUUUUGUUCUUCAAGUUAUUGUAACUUUUAUUUUCUUUUAUACAUUUCUCUUAAUAUUUAUCUAUGCAUCCUUAAUAUUUUUUUAAAAUGAUUUUUCAUUAACUAAUGUAUUUAUUGUAGUUUUAAAUAUAUUAUAGUUUUCGUGCAAUUGAUUAAAUUGUUUUGGCGUUGGUGGUAUUUGAAGUGGUUGAGAACCUGAAUGGAUAUUUACUUUAAUAAAGUUUUUGGUGUAUGUUUAAAAAUAAAAAUUUGUAAAGGUUUUUGAAAUCGUAUGAAUAUAAUAUUCAACACACUACUGGUGACUGUUUAUAUACUUAAAAUUCUGACGUAUGUAAUUGCAAAUUUACUGAAUUCAUAGCUUUGUUGCUACUUUAUAAAUUAUCACAGGAUGAUGUACAUAUGGUAAAUAUUGCUUUGAUGAUAAUAUAACGUCUGUAUCGUAAUGUGUGUUUUUUUUUGUUUUAUUUACUAUGUAUUAAGAAAUAAUUAACACAUUCAAUAAUAUUAAAGACUAAAAUGCUCUGUCAAUUGUUCAUAAUAUAAGCCUAAAAUUAAAUUCAAGUUCAGCCAAAGAAAUAAAACCCAAAGACACGUGUCGACCUGUCAGAGAGUAACUUUCCACGUGGAUAACUUAGAAGAGAGGCAAACAUAAUUUAUAUAUAUAGAUAUAUGCAGAUUUUGUCAGCUUCGGAAAACAUAGAGCAAUCGUCUGUUAUAGGCUAACGUAUUUACCACUUGGGCCGAACUCCAAAUUCAUAUUGGCGAAAUAGUAAUAAUUUAAUUCGUGUGAAUAGUCCAAUUUAUGACUAACAUGGAUACAUACAAAACCCUAAAAAAUUACCACUAUACUAUGACAACUUAGGAGGUGUUAUUGGUUUAUGUAUUUUUAUUGAUUUAGAAAUACAAAUUUUCAAAUUUUCUCGGAUUAGUAUUUACAAAUUCGGAGGUUUUCCUUCGGAUUUGGGCCUUUGUAUUUUUCACAAAGAAAUCCAUGCAAAUCCAUUCAAAUACAUUAUGAAAUCAAAUAUAUUAGUAAAUCCGUAUGAUUGAAUAACACUUGAUUUGAAUUAGAAUUUAUGAAUCAUUAAACGAAUAACACUUGAUUUGAAUUAGAAUUUAUGAAUCAUUAAACGAAUAACACAUGAUUUCAAUAUAUAUUUUAAAAUUAUAGAACCAAUAACACUAGAUUUAGUUUGGAUUUUAAAAUCCAUCAAAAUACACCAACCAAUAACCCCCACUUAGUUAACUAGAAACUGUCCUAAAGUUCUUAAGCAUAUAAACAGGUACGUUAGACCAUGUAUAUAUCUUGGCCUUGAUUGGUAACAUCAAUAACUGCGGAUUGGAAAAAUUAAUUAAAAUGUGGAAAAUUUAAAUCUGUUUAAUGAAAACGUAUAAAAUAUUUUUGUAUGAUUGGAAUAUUUUUCAGAAUGGUAGAAUAUAAAUUAUAUUAAAACUAAAUUUUGAUAUAUUAUUUAAUCAAUUAAUAAAUAUUAGUAACUACAACGUUAUUAUAAUAUAAAAUUAAUAAACAUUAAUAAUUAAAAUAAUUAUUAUAAUACAUAAAUUAUCAUAGAAUUAACUAAUAUGAAAAUAAUAUUUAGUACUCCCUCCGUUUUUUAAUAUAAGUAGUUUUACUGCUAUGCACAUAGAUUAAGAAUAUCAUUAAUUUCUUAUAUUUUCUAAACAAAAAUAGCAUUAAUUAUUUACCUAACCACAAUUCAACCAAUAUAAAAAUAGAAGAUAUAUUAUCAUUGGUCAGACAACAUCCCCUAUAUAUUAUUUGAGAAGCAUUACAAUAUUUUUUUGUAGUCACGUGUCAUCACUAGAAUGAUUCUUAGAAUUCUUAGAGAAAUAUGUUGGUCCAUAUAAAUAUAUAAUAAAUUUUUUAUUAAACUAACCAUAAGUACACUAUUAAUGUUCUUCAUUAUUUCCUGAAAUAAAAUCACGGAAUUUCUUAAUAUGGCUAAAGUAUAUAUGAAAAUUAAUGAUUUUGAAUGAUAAAGAUUUGAUAAAAAUAAGUGUAUAUUAUAUUAUAUUUGUUUAAUUUUAAACUAUAAAAAUAAAUUAAACAACCAUAGUAACCAUAUAAUAAACAUUAAAAAAUUCUUUAUAUGUUAUAUUUGUGGUCCAUGGUUUAAAUUUUUUGUUAUGAUAUGAUACAAAUGAUUAAGAAAUCAUAUAAGUUGAAGUCUCAUUUAAUAAGUAUUAAAAAUAAAAGAUAUAUAUAUAUAUAUAUAUAUAUAUAUUUAUAUAUAUAUCAUUUUAAGUUAAUUUAUAUGAUAUUGUGUUUUCCAAAAAGAAUUCUUGCGAUCAAUUUAGUAUCAUCUAUGCAUUGUCUACUCUCGAAUAUAUAAAUAUAUAUAUUUCUGAACAAUUAAAUAUUAAAAUAUUUUAGUGGUAUAAUUUAAACUUGGGUCUCUAGUCAAAAAACAAAACUUGUUUCCAAUUUAUGUAAAAAAUAUUAUUUUUUUGAAUGAGCAAAGAUUUAAGGAUGGUUAUUGUUUUAAGAACAUUAACUUGUUAUUUCUGAACAAUUAAAUAUUAAAAUAUUUUAGUGGUAUAAUUAAAACUUGGGUCUCUAGUCAAAAAAACAAAACUUGUUUCCAACUUAUGUGAAUAAUAUUAUUUUUUUGAAUGAGCAAAGAUUUAAGGAUGGUUAUUGGCAAAUAAAUAUUUGAGAACUUUAAUUUUUUUUUUUGAGAUUCUACUGCUAUAAUAGUUUAAGGGUUUUUUUAAAUAUUACUAACUAAUUGUUAUUGAUUCGGAAGAUUUUCAAAUUUCAUCAAAAUUCUUUAUUUAUUUACGAUAAUAGUUUUUCAUUCUAUUUUAAUAAAAUUUAACGUUAUUAAAAUAUAAUUUACCUUUUUAUUCAUAAGAUACAACUUCCAAAAUAUUUUGGAAACUAAAAUAAUGGAUGUAAGAUUUAAAAUCCGCUAUGUAAUUUAUUAUUUGAAUAUCACAACAACAAAUUACAUAGCGGUAGAGUUUACGUUUUUUUAGCUUUAAGUUCUGAGAUUAUUUUUUAGUGUUUAGGGUUGGUAGAGUUUUAGGGUUAGAUGGAAUUUAUGGUUAGGUUUAGGUAGGGUUUAGGGUUAUUAGGUUUGGGCAUGGUUUAGGGUUAGCAGGGUUUAAGGUUAGGUAGGGUUUAGGGUUAUGUAGAAUUUUUAGGGUUAGGCAGGGUUUAGGGUGGUUAGGUAGAGUUUAGGGUUAGAAAGGGUUUAGGGUUAGGUAGGGUUUAGGGUGGUUAGGCAGAGUUCAGGGUUAGAAAGGGUUUAGGGUUAGGUAGGGUUUAGGGUUAGAAAGGGUUUAGGGUUAGGUAGGGUUUAGGGUUCGGUAGGGUUUAGGGUUAGGUAGGGUUUAGGGUUAGUAGGGUUUUAAGGUUAGGUUGGGUUUAGGGUUAGAAAGGGUUUAGGACUAGGUAGGGUUUAGGGUUAAGUAGGUUUGGGUAGUUAGGGUUUAGGGUUAGGUAAGGUUUAGGGUUAGUAGGGUUUAGGGUUAAGUAGGGUAUAGGGUUAGGUAGGGUUUAGGGUUAGAAAGGGUUUAGGGUUAGUAGGGUUUAGGGUUAGUAGGGUUUAAGGUUAGGUAGGGUUUAGGGUUAGAAAAGGUUUAGGGUUAGAAAGGUUUUAGGGUUAGGUAGGGUUUAGGACAAGGUAGGGUUUAGGGUUAAGUAGGAUUUGGGUAGGUAGGGUUUAGGGUUAGGUAGGGUUUAGGGUUUGUAGGGUUUAGGGUUAGGUAGGGUUUAGGUUAGUAGGGUUUAGGGUUAGUAGGGUUUAGGGUUAGGUAGGGUUUAAGGCUAGAAAGGGUUUAGGGUUAGAAAGGUUUUAGAGUUAGUAGGAUUUAGGGCUAGAAAGGGUUUAGGGUUAGAAAGGGUGGGUUAGGCAGGGUUUAGGGUUAGGUCAGGUUUAGGGUUAGAAGGGGUUUAGGGUUAGGUUGGGUUUAGGUGUUAGAAAGGGUUUAGGGUAGGUAGGGUUUAGGGUUAGGUAGGGUUAUGGGUUAGUAGGGUUUAAGUUUAGUAGGGUUUAGGGUAAGUAGGGUUUAGGGUUAGGUAGGGUUUAGGGUUAGGUAGGGUUUAGGGUUAGUAGGGUUUAGGGUUAGGUAGGGUUUAGGGUUAGGUAGAGUUUAAGUUUAGUAGGGUUUAGGGUUAGUAGGGUUUAGGGCUAGAAAAUGUUUAGGGUUAGAAAGGUUUUAGGGUUAGGUAGGGUUUAGGUUAGGUAGUGUUUAGGUUAGGUAGGGUUAGUAGGGUUUAAGGUUAGGGUUAGGUAGCGUUUAGGGUUAGGUAGGGUUUAGGGUUAGGUUUUAGGUAGGGGUUUAGGGUUAGGUAGGGUUUAGGGCUAAAUAGGAUUUAUGUUUAGGGUUAGGUAGGUUUACGGUUAGAAAGGUUUAGGGUUUAGGUAGUAGGUAGGGUUUAGGGAUUAAGGUUAGGUUUAGGUAGGGUUUAGGGUUAGAUAGGGUUAAGGUCUAGGUUUAGGUAGGGUUUAGGGUUAGGUAGGAUUUAGGGUUUAGGUAGUAGGAAAGGUUUAGCGUUUGGUUUAGGUUGAAUUUAGGGUUUGGCUUAGAAUAAUGAUUAGGAUUAUAGGGUUUUGGAUUUGUUUGUUUUUUUGUUUAUGCAUUUCGUGCUGAACUUAUUGGAUAAAAUUUUAUAUUAAUAUUAUUGAUUCAUAAUUUUUUCUAAAAUGUUAAAAAUUUUAACAUGAUUUUUAAUGUUCUUAAAACAAAGUAUGUAUUUUUUUAUUAAGUUUUUGUGACAAUAAGUUGAAUAUAUCUUAGACCACAAAUCAUAAAUAUUCUGAGUCUUAUAUAUUUUGUUCUUCAAGUUAUUGUAACUUU
rnacentral:lncRNA from 1 species